rnacentral:rRNA from 1 species
UACGAAGGGGGCUAGCGUUGCUCGGAAUGACUGGGCGUAAAGGGCGCGUAGGCGGCCCAUACAGUCAGGCGUGAAAUUCCUGGGCUCAACCUGGGGACUGCGCUUGAGACGUGUGGGCUUGAGUGGGGAAGAGGGUCGUGGAAUUCCCAGUGUAGAGGUGAAAUUCGUAGAUAUUGGGAAGAACACCGGUGGCGAAGGCGGCGACCUGGUCCUUGACUGACGCUGAGGCGCGAAAGCGUGGGGAGCAAACAGG